rnacentral:rRNA from 1 species
CUCGUAGGCGGCCAACUAAGUCGGACGUGAAAUCCCUCGGCUUAACCGGGGAACUGCGUCCGAUACUGGAUGGCUUGAGAUUGGGAGAGGGAUGCGGAAUUCCAGGUGUAGCGGUGAAAUGCGUAGAUAUCUGGAGGAACACCGGUGGCGAAGGCGGCAUCCUGGACCAACACUGACGCUGAGGAGCGAAAGCCAGGGAGCAAACG